AUGGAUCGCUCGCCUGCCAAGUUCGUCUUGCUCCUUAUGGCAGCAGCGGCAACCUGGAGCUUCUUCGCCGUCGCCGACGCAGGCAAGCUCCAACCGAGCUGCAUAGGGCGCGAGAGGGACGCCUUGCUGGCCUUCAAGGAAAGCAUCAAUGAUACGGGUGGCGAACUAGGGUCGUGGCGACAAGAGCGCCAAGAUUUCUGCCAAUGGGCAGGCAUCACCUGCGAUAACGUAACCGGCCACGUCGUCAAGCUUGACCUUGGCGGAAGAUAUUAUUUGGUCGGUGAGAUAAGUCCUUCUUUGCUUUCUCUAGAGCAUCUCGAGUACCUCAAUCUCUGGGGCACGGGACUCUCAAUAGCCGAUUGGCCUCUUGUUAUGAAUAAGAUUCCAUCUUUGGAGUUGCUCGAUUUUUCUGGGUGCUUGCUUUCUAGUGCCAACCAAUCCCUCGCACACAUAAACCUCACAAAUCUUCAGGAGCUUUUUCUCUCCUACAACCACUUUGGCCAUCCACUUUCCUCCAGUUGGUUUUGGAAGUUAACAAGCCUCAAGUACCUCGGCCUUUCUGACCUAUCGCUUGAUAGAAGCCUCUCCUUUGGAAACAUAACAGAGUUUCUAGAUAAAUUGCCUAGAUGUUCAUCCAACAGAUUACGGUACUUGAGCUUGAGCAGCAACAAUAUGGUUGGAAUUCUGCCAAACAGAAUGGGGCACUUGACCAACUUAUCUUUGUUCGACCUUUUUUACAAUAACAUUACUGGAGAUAUACCACCAUGGUUGGGAAACACUAGUUUGGAGUAUCUUUCUCUUUCGAGCAACCAUCUUACUGAACCUGUACUGCUAAGGACAAUGAGUUGCACUAUAUUAGAAGACCUUGACCUUUCUGACAACAAUAUUACUGGAGUUAUACCGCCAUGGUUGGGGAAUUGCACUAGUUUGAUUCACCUUUCACUAUCUAAGAACCUUCUCACUGGGCACGUCCCAUGGACUCUUCCAUCAGAGUUUGGAGCUUACGGAUUAGUAGAACUGAGUUUAUCCUCCAAUUACUUCAAUGGGCAUAUUCCUGAAUCUAUUUGUAUGUUGAGCAACCUACUUGUCUUGGAUUUAUCAGACAACCUUCUAGAGGGAGAACUUCCUCAGUGUUCUCACAAGUCUAACAUGGUCUUCCUCCUCUUAAGCCACAAUACGUUUUCUGGCAAUUUCCCAUCAUCACUGAAGAACUACUCGAGUUUGGCAUUUGUGGAUCUUUCAGUGAAUAAUUUCUAUGGAACAUUGCCAUCAUGGAUUGGAGACUUGGUAUAUUUGCGCUUUCUGCAGCUAAGUCAUAAUUUCUUCUGUGGAGUUAUUCCGGUGACUAUCACAAAACUUAUACACCUUCAUCAGCUUAGUUUAGCAGGAAAUAGUAUAUCUGGUGUUAUACCCUGGUCUUUGUCAAAUUUAACAGGAAUGACCCAAAAACAACCAAAGAAGCCUGGGGUUGACAUGUUUAUAUGGUAUAACGGCCAUGUGGGUAAAUUUAGAGAAGUUUGGCCUAUUGUGAUGAAGCGCCAAGAACUAAAGUACGGUACUAGAAUUUUGGAUGUGGUCAGUAUGGACCUAUCACUCAACUACCUAACAGGUGAAAUUCCAUAUGGGCUUACCUCUCUUAAAGGACUGUUGAAUCUGAACUUCUCAUGGAAUCAAUUGAGUGGAAAAAUUCCUAGGAAGAUUGGAGAUAUGAAAUCACUUGAAUCGCUCGACCUCUCAAGGAAUAAACUUUCUGGUGAAAUCCCAACAAGCUUGUUAGAUUUGACGUAUUUAAGCUCCUUGGACUUGUCAUAUAACAAUCUUACAGGAAGAAUUCCACAGGGAAGUCAACUUGACACCCUCUACUUGGAGAACCCGUCCAUAUACACGGGCAACAUUGGUCUGUGUGGCACUCCUCUUGAAAGGAAUUACUCAGGAAGCAAUGCACCGGAGCAUGACAAUCAACAGAAAAUUGAGAAGGUUUCUGAACCUGUGUUGUUCUUUUACUUUGGACUUGGGUCUGGGUUUGUGGUUGGCCUUUGGGUUGUGUUUUGCACCUUACUAUUCAAGAAAGUUUGGAGGGUUGCCUAUUUCCGCCUCUUUGACAAGUCGUAUGACAAGGCAUAUGUGUUUGUGGUUGUUACUUGGGGCAGGACAAACCGCAAGCCGGCAGCAACUUAA
rnacentral:rRNA from 1 species